UCCUCGCUGGUUCUUCUGGAUGCAG
rnacentral:piRNA from 1 species